rnacentral:lncRNA from 1 species
CCCGACCCCGUCGGGGCGGGGGGCAGAGGCAGCAGAGCCCAGUGGUGGGGGAGGCUGGUGCAGAGCUCACCUCAUCCGUCCUCCCUCCCCCCUCCCUCCCCCCUCCCUCCCUCCUUCCUUCCCUCCUUCCUUCCUUUCUUCCUUCCUUCCCUCCCUCCCUCUCUUCCUUCCUUCCUUCCUUCCUUCCUUCCUUCCUUCCUUCCUUCCUUCCUCCUUCUUCCUUCUUCCUUCUUCUUCCUUCCUUCCCUCUCUCCCUCCCUCCCUCUCUUCUUCCUUCCUUCCUUCCUUCCUUCCUUCCUUCUUCCUUCCUUCCAUCCCUCCCUCUCUCCUUCCUUCCUUCUUCCUUCCCUCCUCCCUCCUUCCUUCUUCCUUCCUUCCUUCUUCCUUCCUUCCUUCCUCCCUCCCUCCCUCUCCUCUUUCCUCCCUCCCUCCUUCCUCCUUCCUUCUUCCUUCCUUCCUUCCUUCCUCCUUCCUUCCUUCCUGCCUUCCUUCCUUCCGUCCUUCCUUCCUUCCUCCUUCCUUCCUUCCUUCCUUCCUUCCUUCCCUCCCUCCCUCUCUUCCUUCCUUCCUUCUUCCUUCCCUCCCUCCUCUUCCUUCCUUCCUGCCUUCCUUCCUUCUUCCUUCCUUCUUCCUUCCUUCUUCCUUCCUUCCUUCCUCCUUCUUCCUUCCUUCCUUCCUCCCUCCCUCUCCUCUUCCCUCCCUCCCUCCCUCUCUCCCUCCCUCCCUCCUUCCUUCCUUCCCUCCCUCCCUCUCUCCCUCCCUCCCACUUCCCUUCCCCUCCCUCCCUCCUUCCUUCCUCCUUCCUUCCUUCCUUCCUUCUUCCUUCCUUCCUUCCUUCCCUCUCUCCCUCCCUCUCCCCUUCCUUCCCUCCCUCCCUCCCUCCUUCCUUCUUUCCUCCCUCCCUCCCUCUCUCCUCCUCCCUCCUUCCUUCCUCCUUCCUCCUUCCUUCCUUCUUCCUUCCCUCCCUCCCUCUCUUCCUUCCUUUCUUCUUCCUUCCUUCCUCUUCCUUCCUUCUUCCUUCCUUCCCUCCCUCCCUCUCUUCUUCCUUCCUUCCUUCCUUCUUCCUUCCUUCCUUCCUUCCUUCCCUCCCUCCUCUCUCCCUCCCUCCCACUUCCUUCCUCCUUCCUUCCUCCUUCUUCCUUCCUUCCUUCCUUCCUUCCUUCCUUCCUUCCUUCCUUCCCUCCUCUCCCUCCCUCUCCCCUUGCUUCCCUCCCUUCUUCCUUCUUUCCUCCCUCCCUCCCUCCUCCCUCCUUCCUUCUUUCCUCCCUCCCUCCCUCUCUCCUCCCUCUCCCCUUCCUUCUUCCUUCCUCCUUCCUUCCUUCCUUCCUUCCUUCCCUCCUCUCCCUCCCUCUCCCCUUGCUUCCCUCCCUCCUUCCUUCUUUCCUCCCUCCCUCCUUCCUCCUUCCUUCUUUCCUCCCUCUCUCCCUCCUCUCCCCUUGCUUCCCUCCCUUCUUCCUUCUUUCCUCCUCCCUCCCUCCUCCCUCCUUCCUUCUUUCCUCCCUCCUUCCUCCUCCCUCCCUCUCCCCUUCCUUCCUUCCUCUUCCUUCCUCCUUCCUUCCUUCUUCCCUCCCUCCCUCUCCUCUUUCCUCCCUCCCUCCCUUUCCUCUUGCCUCCCUCCCUCCCUCCCUCUUCCUUCCCUCCCUCCUCCCUCCUCUUCCCUUCCUCCCUCCCUCUCUUCCUUCCUUCCUUCUUCCCCUUCCUCCCUCCCUUAGUCAGGUGCUGUGUUGUGGGAUGCAGAGGAGGGCCAGACUUUGGCCAGCUCACAGGGCUCUCCCCAUCUGCUGGGGGCAGUCGUCCAGGGAUCUGUGGAUGGAAGUCCCUCCCAGUGGUGGGAAGCACCAGGGAGGCACUGCCCACUUGCCCCUCACACUCCCUGACUGAAUGCCUUAACAGGCCAAUCCUGGGCUGUGUUCUGGGAACCACC